UGGGGAAUAUUGGACAAUGGGCGCAAGCCUGAUCCAGCCAUGCCGCGUGAGUGAUGAAGGCCUUAGGGUUGUAAAGCUCUUUUGUCAGGGAAGAUGAUGACGGUACCUGAAGAAUAAGCACCGGCUAACUUCGUGCCAGCAGCCGCGGUAAUACGAAGGGUGCUAGCGUUGUUCGGAAUCACUGGGCGUAAAGCGCGCGUAGGCGGCGAUUCAAGUCAGGGGUGAAAUCCCAGAGCUUAACUCUGGAACUGCCUUUGAAACUGUAUCGCUGGAGUGUCGGAGGGGAUGGCGGAAUUGCUAAUGUAGAGGUGAAAUUCGUAGAUAUUAGCAGGAACACCGGUGGCGAAGGCGGCCAUCUGGACGACAACUGACGCUGAGGCGCGAAAGCGUGGGGAUCAAA
rnacentral:rRNA from 1 species